CAUGUUGUUCACCAAACAACAUAGAGGAAUGGGGAUUGACAACAUUCGCAUCCUGUCACAGAACCAGCUACAAUCUCACUAUAAUCCUCAUUAUUGAGCAAUUGCUCAGUCACUGCUCACUAGGAAGUGGACCUAGACCUUAUUCCUUUCUGCCUGGAAAUUGUCCUGAUAUGAGACUAAAAGAGAGAAAGCAAGGACAUCCCAAAUUUUUCUUUGGCAUCUUUAUCAAAUGGAUCAUCUCCCAAAUACAUGUGGAUGUAUGCCCUGCAGAGAAGUUCACUCUCAACUUUGCUAACCACCUCAUCCAUCACUUUAGUUUGGAGAACAAAUCCAGGAAGGCGAGAAAUCUCAAUUACAGAGCCACUUGUUAGCUUUAUUUCAUCUGGUGCUUGACCCAUGACCUUGUUUGCAAGCUCUUCAUUCUUCUUCCCACCAGUCAGUUUCUUUAUGGAUGCUCCUAGACCUUCAUCAAAGUUCUUUUUUACCAUGCUCAUGGUGAGUCCAGAAAACACAAUAACCAGCCUCACCAUCAUGGGCAAAUCACUGUCAAUUGCCACCUGAUACAUUUCCUUGCUUGGUUUUGCUGGGGCUUUUCCAAUGUUUGACUUGAGGAGAUCUUUCAGCUUCUCAUUGUCUGUAUAUAUCCCAAAGCUAUAAAUCUUGAUGCCCAUGCCUAGCAUGGACUUCUUCCUCAAACCAACACUUAGCAACUGCUUCCCAUCAUCCAACUUAACCGGAAAGGAAACCCCAGUCUUAGGUUCAACCUCAAUUCCUACCUCUUCUGUCUUCUCCUCUUCCUUUGGCGCCUCACGUUCGGCUUCUUUUCCAGCUGUUUUCAUCUCUUCUUGAACUUUUUCCACAGUUGGCUCUCCAAUAGCCUUCCCUGCAUUCUCACAGUUCACUCCGUUCGUAGCCUUCUGUUCAACGCCAUUCACCUUCUCCUCUACUGGUGUCUGAUCCUUGGCAGCAACAUUCUCAGAAAGGGUUGCCAUUCUUCAACAAUGCAAUGCUAUGGAGAAGAACAGAGGAAGAGUUUUAG
rnacentral:misc_RNA from 1 species